AUUGAACGCUGGCGGCAGGCCUAACACAUGCAAGUCGAGCGAGCGGCGCACGGGUGAGUAAUGUAUGGGGACUGCCCGCUAGAGGGGGAUAACUACUGGAAACGGUAGCUAAUACUGCAUACUAUCGGAUAACCCAUAUGGGUUUAGCUAGUAGGUGAGGUAAUGGCUAACCUAGGCGACGAUCCCUAGCGGGUUUGCGAGGACGACCAGCCAAACGGGGACUGAGAACCGGCCCGGACUCCUACGGAGGAAGCAGUGGGGAAUUUUGGACAAUGGGGGAAACCCUGAUCCGGCACGCCCCCGUGUAUGAUGAAGGCCUUGGGGUUGUAAAGUACUUUUGGCAGGGAGGCGGUAUCUACAGAAUAAGCACCGGCUAACUACGUGCCAGCAGCCGCGGUAAUUC
rnacentral:rRNA from 1 species